AUUGAACGCUGGCGGCAGGCUUAACACAUGCAAGUCGAGCGGGGUGAUGGUGCUUGCACUAUCACUUAGCGGCGGACGGGUGAGUAAUGCUUAGGAAUCUGCCUAUUAGUGGGGGACAACAUCUCGAAAGGGAUGCUAAUACCGCAUACGUCCUACGGGAGAAAGCAGGGGAUCACUUGUGACCUUGCGCUAAUAGAUGAGCCUAAGUCGGAUUAGCUAGCUGGUGGGGUAAAGGCCUACCAAGGCGGCGAUCUGUAGCGGGUCUGAGAGGAUGAUCCGCCACACUGGGACGGAGACACGGCCCAGACUCCUACGGGAGGCAGCAGUGGGGAAUAUUGGACAAUGGGGGGAACCCUGAUCUAGCCAUGCCGCGUGUGUGAAGAAGGCCUUAUGGUUGUAAAGCACUUUAAGCGAGGAGGAGGCUCUUUUGGUUAAUACCCAAGAUGAGUGGACGUUACUCGCAGAAUAAGCACCGGCUAACUCUGUGCCAGCCGCCGCCGUAA
rnacentral:rRNA from 1 species